rnacentral:lncRNA from 1 species
GAAGCAAAAAGUGGAUGGCAUGGUGCAGUGCCUCCCAGAGGGGGGUUGCGAGGGACAGUUGCGAGGGGCCAAUCCGAUAAAUAAUAUAGUGAAAGUUUGUUAAAUAAGGGUGCGAAUCCAUGCCGCCUGUCCCAGGCAGCGUGACAGCUCUCGGCGAUCCUGGAUGCCUGUGUGUAAGAUGGUAUCGAUAUGAUCUAGCCUCAAUUAAGUUAGUCGCAGACAAAAAAUAAAACCUGUAAACAGUUUCUGCCUUCAUUUACUUAUCCAAGCGCCAGCGAAACAAACGACAGAAAAGAAGAAGCAUUCGAUAGGCUUGCAAUUUUUUUUUCAUAUGUUUUUAAAUAAUCUGAAUAAUUUUGUUAUUUUUAUUUAGUUGAAUUAUGAAAUUGUUUAUGUUAAAGUUGUUAUUUCCUUGUUAACUGUUGUUUGUCGUUAACAAAGCAUAUAAAAAAAUGCACAUAAUGACAACAGAUUUAUUUUUAGAACUGUUUGCAAAACUAUUGGUUUGGAUACAAAAGACCAAGUGAAAAUGAUGCUGGAAAGAAUGUUUACCGUUUCACUCCAGUCCCAAUCUAAGCUAGUGGGUUCAAAAAGAAAGGACUGCGCUGGAAACAUGAGAAGAUUAAAAGAAUGAGCCCUUUUUAAAAUAAUAGCCGAAGUUGUAACCAGCUCGUAUGAAAGGAUUUCUCAACGUGAAAUAGUUAAUUUUAUUCAACAACGCCAAGAAACAGAGCUCUUUCAAGAAACAGAAAAGAAAGAACAAUACUGUUGUUUUAUUUAUAAAUUAUUCUCAUAUGUUUAAA